rnacentral:rRNA from 1 species
GGGUGAGUAUCACGUGAGUAACCUUCCCUUAACUCUGGGAUAAGCCCGGGAAACUGGGUCUAAUACCGGAUACGACCAGUCCUCGCAUGGGGUGCUGGUGGAAAGAUUUAUCGGUUUUGGAUGGACUCGCGGCCUAUCAGCUUGUUGGUGAGGUAAUAGCUCACCAAGGCGAUGACGGGUAGCCGGCCUGAGAGGGUGACCGGCCACACUGGGACUGAGACACGGCCCAGACUCCUACGGGAGGCAGCAGUGGGGAAUAUUGCACAAUGGGCGAAAGCCUGAUGCAGCGACGCCGCGUGCGGGAUGACGGCCUUCGGGUUGUAAACCGCUUUCAGCAGGGAAGAAGCGCAAGUGACGGUACCUGCAGAAGAAGCGCCGGCUAACUACGUGCCAGCAGCCGCGGUAAUACGUAGGGCGCGAGCGUUAUCCGGAAUUAUUGGGCGUAAAGAGCUCGUAGGCGGUUUGUCACGUCUGCUGUGAAAGCCCGGGGCUCAACCCCGGG